CACAGUGAUUAACCGAUGUGGCUUGACUUUCUGAUUCCGGAAGCUGACGAAACCCUUUUUAUUCUUCCAAAUCCUCGUCUUGAUUCUGUACCGUUAAUCCCGCAAUCUUGUAACACGUCUUGCCUUUCUAAGCAGCUCCUUAAAUUAUUUAUCAUUAUUUUUUUUUUCUAUUUCUUUUCUUCUUUUCUUUCUUCUCUUUAUUUCUUUUCUCUUCUUGCUCUCCUUUCUU
rnacentral:lncRNA from 1 species